rnacentral:misc_RNA from 1 species
UAACGUGUUAGCCGUAAUCUGCAUUAGUCUUAAACGAAGCUGAUGGUUAGUGCAGAACGUAAUUUUUUUAAAAGCUUUAUUUCAACUUUAAACUGGACUACAUGUAAGAACUGCCAUUCAAGUAAUUUCUUUUGAGAUCACUUUAUUUAUCAUAAGAUAACCUUUUCACUAGCUGGAAUUCUGCCACUGUUCAGUUAAUAUUCAGACAAGUUGAAACAUAGAAAUCUGAAGAACCUGGACAUUCAGCCAUAAAUGCCAUCAAUACCAGAGGAAUUAUUUACCUAAAUGUAAAAUUUUGUAGGGAGAACAAGUGGGAAUAAACCUUUUUUUUUUUUUUUGUUUUUAAUUUCCAAAAUUACCAAGAAUAAAUGGAAUUUGUUUUCAGAAUCUUUAGAUUUAUAUGGUGUAUACUUUGCUUUGUAAUGUAUACCCAUAGCGAGCAGUAUAUUUCAUAAAUAAACAUGUCCUGGAAAUUAGGUUAAAAUAUGCUGUGCUUUCAUUUGACUACAGAAAAUCUUUUUUUUUUUUCCAAUUUUCAUGUUGAAGAUAAAGAGCAAUAGCAAUUAUUUUUAAUAAAAAAGAAAGCACAACAAUUAGCUCUUAGAAUGGUUUUUAAUUUGCUAGUUGUUUUACCAUAAGACAAAUAGGGUAUAAGAAUAUUGCUUAAUUAUUCACAUACCAUUCAUCUUGAUUUUAAAACUUUUCACUGUACUUCAAAGCAAAGUCACUUUUGCUUUCCAGUACAGUGAAAGGAUUUCAAUUUUUCAUUCUGCAUUUCAGUGAAAAAUGUUAUCAGGGUGUAAUAGGUUUGAGAAUUUACAUUUCCUCUGAGGUAGUUUUAGAAUAGAUAUUUUCUGUGCAGUAAUGAAAAAAAAAAGCAGACUAGUGUUAGAUUAUAGGAAAUAUAUUUGAAGAUGUCGAACUACAUAUAUAAAGUUCUUCAUUCAAAUACCACUGGCAAAUAACUUUUAUCAGUAAUGAAAUGUCGGGUGGACAGUUUUGGAAAACGCUCGAAACAUUCAACUCAGUAUAAAUACUAUCAGUUCAUGAUGCAUACAUUUACAUUUGUAUAUACUUAGAUUAUACCCAUUCCCUUCAGAAUUUUAGUGCCGACUCUUAGCUCAUCAAUGGACACAAUAAAUUUUGAAUAUCAGUUUUCGACGAAGAGAAAGUUGUACAAGUUGGUCAUUUCAGAGUUUGAUAUUGAGGAAAGAGCUCAGUAUUUACAGAGGAGAAAAAAAAAGAGAGACAUCAAGUAUGGAAAUGGGGAAACUUCAUUAUUUAUGAAAUUUCCUUAGUUUGAACAAGGCAAGAUCAUAAAUUUAAUUUGGAACAAAUAUAUGAACUGUAAUUCUUUUGAGAUUUUUGAAAGAAACAGAGGUCUAACAGAAUUGAUUGAUUUCUCUAACUGAAAAUAUUCCUUGAGUGAAUACAAAUGGCAGAGAGGUUGAGGGAAAAAGAAUCUUGUGAGGAAGGUUUGAAACUGACAGAUUAAAAAAAAUGUUGGAACAAAUAAGAACAGUUGCAACAAAGAAUAUGAAAACUGUGGUGUCACUGACUGUUUCUGCAAGUUUGAGGAUUCGUAACUUAAUGCAGAUGAAUAUUAUUAUUAUUAUUGCUAUUAUUAUUAUUACUUUGGACAGUUACAUAUUUCAAUGUUGCAAGGUUUACAAAUGAAAGGAAGAACAAAAAUACUACUAGCUGCAAAGGAAACAUUCAACUUUUAUUCUUGAUCCCAGCUCAACAAAACUUAAUGGAUCUGAACCAAUAUGUUAACCAGAAAUGAUUAUUUAACAAAAUAAUAAAAGAAAAGCUACUUUGGA